UACAGAGGGUGCAAGCGUUAAUCGGAAUUACUGGGCGUAAAGCGUGCGUAGACGGUCAUGUAAGUCGAGUGUGAAAGCCCCCGGCUCAACUGGGGAGGGUCAUUCGAUACUGAUCGACUGGAAGGCAGGAGAGGGAAGCGGAAUUCCCGGUGUAGUGGUGAAAUGCGUAGAUAUCGGGAGGAACACCAGUGGCGAAGGCGGCUUCCUGGCCUGUUCUUGACGCUGAGGCGCGAAAGCUAGGGGAGCAAACGGG
rnacentral:rRNA from 1 species